ACGAGUGGCGCACGGGUGCGUAACGCGUAUGCAACCUACCCUUUACUGGGGGAUAGCCCGGAGAAAUUCGGAUUAAUACCCCAUGGUACUAUAAUAUAGCAUUAUAUAAUAGUUAAAGAUUUAUUGGUAAAGGAUGGGCAUGCGUGACAUUAGUUAGUUGGUAAGGUAACGGCUUACCAAGACGAUGAUGUCUAGGGGUUCUGAGAGGAAGGUCCCCCACACUGGUACUGAGACACGGAUCAG
rnacentral:rRNA from 1 species